GAUGAAGAACGUAGCGAAAUGCGAUAAGUAAUGUGAAUUGCAGAGUUCAGUGAAUCAUCGAAUCUUUGAACGCACAUUGCGCCCGCUAGUAUUCUGGCGGGCAUGCCUGUUCGAGCGUCAUUUCAACCAUCAAGCCCCAGGCUUGUGUUGGGGGCCUGCGGCUGCCGCAGCCCCUGAAAAGCAGUGGCGGGCUCGCUGUCAUUCCGAGCGCAGUAGUUACAUCUCGCUCCGGGCGUGGCGGUGGGCACCUGCCGUGAAACACUCCUUCUAAGGUUGACCUCGGAUCAGGUAGGAAUACCCGCUGAACUUAAGCAUAUCAAUAAGCGGAGGA
rnacentral:misc_RNA from 1 species